CCGCGAAGUAGACGUCAUAACGAUGACGAUGACACAAACAGGCAAAGUGAAAAUCCAUCACCUGUUCAAACAAGAACUUCCAGGCGUGGUGGUCGCGGACAACGUGGUCGUGGCAGUCGUCGUGGACAUGUAGGCCGUCUGAAAUCAUAUC